UUUUUCACUUUGUCUAAAACUUACAAACCCUAAUUACUAACUCUCACUUUGACUCCAGCGCGCGCCUCCUUCUUCGCGUCGACCUCGUUCUCCAACCUGACCCGCCCCGAGCUCAUUCUCAAACCUGAGCGGCCUCGAGCUCGUUCUCCGACCACCACCAGUGUAGGUCCUCUCUCUCUUCUCCCCACCACCAAUACUGAUUUUCUAUCCGGCGUUUCAUCGUCUUUUUCUUGUGGAGAGAGAGUGAGAUGGGAGCGGAGAAAACAGAGGCGUCGUUGGAUUCGUUGAUCGCCGGGUUCAACAGUCAGAUCUCAGAGCUCCAAGAGCUCGUUAUUGCUCGAAAUAUGCUCAAGCUCAGAUAUCUGGUGGCUGGAGAAAACUGAAACAGAAAUUAGGGAUCAUGUCUCGAUUUGUUUCAAGCUUUUCAGAAUGAGUCUACGGAUUAUAUAUGGUGGCAGGUGAAACAUAUGAGCUGCGGAAUAACCUUGUUGUCCGGCCAUUUAGGACUCAGCAUGCCAUACCAAGCCAGUUGGUUCUGAACUGAGGCAGAGGAAGCUGCUGUUCUGUGGAUUACUUACCAGAUUCAAGGACAUUCGUCAAGCUGUAUCAAGGUUGCAGUCUAAGGUGUCAGCGAAGGUGGUUCAGGGCGAUGGGCUACGGACAUCUUUUUGUAGAAGUACUUCUUUUUGCAGUCAUUGUUUUUCUAUUCUCCCAAAAAAGUUACAAACCCCCUAAGAAGCCUUUAACAGAGAAGGUGCUUGCGUAAAGUGUGUGAUUCAUGGAGCUUAAUUGUGGAAUUUCCACUGAGUGGACAAGCUAUAAAUCGAUCAUCUUGCAAGAAAAGAAAAGUUUCAUUGAAUGGGUCGAGUUUCUGUGGAGCAGAUUUGUUUGCGCUAGUGAAAGACUCUGGAGGUUUGUUUCUUGAAGAUGAAUGUGACGAUGAAAACAAAUAUGAUUUCAAGCACACUCGAGAGAAUUUCCAAAAAGCCAAAGAGUGCUUAAUUUCGUUGAAAAAUUCGAUUGAAUGUCUCCACCAAAAGAAUCUAUUUCCCUACAAUCCUAAUGCUCUUUUGAACCGCUUAAUGAGGUUUCAGGAACUCUGUUUCGAGGAGGAAAAAUAAACUACUCAAACUUGCUCUUACUUGCAGCUUAAUGAGCUAAUCACUGGAUGCCAUGGUGCUGGUAUGAAGAUUAUAUUUUGCUGUGAUGUGCAGGAUUGUCAGGUGUAAUGGGGGUUGCUUAUAUUCAAGAAGUUGGGAAAGCCAGCCUCUUUUUUGAGUUAGGCUAGCUUUUAAUUAACAUUUUUGUAGCAAUUAUGAACAAACAUGAAUACUAAUUGCUAGGCUAGCCUUGUAGUAGGUGAAUUGGGGUUUUAUUUUGUCCAUUUUGUAAACUGUUAAGGAUGAUGAUUUUAGAUAUAUAUUUUGUGGACAUCAUCCUUGUAAUAGCUCAAUAUUCAAAUCACUAUUGUCAAC